GAGAAAGAGAUCUCAAAGAAUCACCAUUCUCAGAUUCAGAAAUCUUAUCAGAUUCCUGGCUUAACCCUGUUUUACCAUUUUCAGUGUUAGCACAAUCUUCAAACUCUGUUGUUUCUAGAUCCUCCUCCUCUUCCUCUUCUUCUUUUGCUACAUUGACCGAAUCUUCUGCCUCAAAAGGUGAUUCUUCAUAUUCUUCUUCGUUUUUCAAAGCCUCUGAUGCCACC
rnacentral:misc_RNA from 1 species